UGUAGCGAGGCGCGUUACUGCGCAAGUGCAUUCUUGCACGGGUAGUCUGACAGAACGGCGAAUAGGUUUGUUGCCUAGCGAAGAAUUUGAAAUCCAGUUAAAUAAGUAAUCAAAAUAAGAAAUACUUUAAGAUUGAAUACGUUUCGCCCAUGUUUUAUUUCUGUAAAUUGAGCAGAGACUGAUAAAUCAAUCGCCGAACUGUUUGGGGAUAAAGGUGGGGAGAUGUCAUACCACUCGUCUUCUCGCAGCUCUUCUCGUAACACCGAUUGCAAGGUCUAUGUUGGCGACUUAGGCAACGGUGCUGCCAAGGGUGAGCUAGAGCGGGCGUUCAGUUACUAUGGCCCUUUACGCACGGUUUGGGUGGCCAGGAACCCCCCAGGUUUCGCCUUUGUGGAGUAUGAGGAUGCCCGUGACGCAGAGGACGCAGUUAAAGGCAUGGAUGGAAAGGUGCUGUGCGGCUCUCGGAUCCGUGUGGAGCUGUCCACUGGCAUGUCACGGAAGACCAAACAUGGCCGCCCCAGCCGCCGCCACUUUGACCCUCAAGACCGCUGCUACCAGUGUGGGGACAGGGGCCACUAUGCCUAUGACUGCUACCGUUUCAGCAAGAGGGGAGGAGGUCGUCGGAGCAGAUCACGCUCUCGCUCCCGGUCUCGUUCCAUCUCAAGGUCACGUGGCAGCCGCUAUCGAUCCCGCUCCCGCAGCAAUGACCGCAGCAGGCACCGCUCCCCAUCUUAUCCCAAACGUAGGAGGAGGUCUGGUUCCCCUGUGCGGUCAAAGUCCAGGACCUCUGUUAGGAGUCGUUCCCGUUCUCGGUCAGGGUCCCGGGCCAGAGGUCGCUCGGCGUCUCGCUCUCGCUCCAGAUCCCGCUCUCCCAGCCAUAAGAGGAAUAGGUCCCUCUCCUAGAAUGACCUGGCCAGACCUUGAUUAGCUUCAGAGAGUCGCACACAGAGCUGAUGAGCCUAUACUCCGAGACAGAGGGGCUGUUUGGGUGACGGCUGGGGGAGCGGGGCUCUUCUCUUUUCUCUUCUCCCUCAGAUCCAGCCUCAAUUUGAUUAGCUUCAGAGGGUGAGAGAACCUCAAAAACCCAAAAGAGAAAUCUGUCGUGAUCAGACUCCGGUGACCAAUCGAAGCAGGCCUUUUUUUAAAGAGAGUGUGGGGAGUCGACUGACUGCACAAGCACUUACCAGGGUCAUCCCUUGCGGUGUUAACGUCCUCCCGGAGGGUAACAAGGGCUGACCAGAAAUCAGCCUACACCACGCUGGUUAAAGAGGUCGUCCGACGCACGUUUUGACGAGACACAUCCAUCCUACGCGCGCACACACAGUUGUUCCACCCACCCCACUCCCUCCCAGAACCCACGCACCACAGACCUGAACGCUGAGCCGAGUUCAGUCGACCAGUUAAGGCCCCCUCCCUACAGAGCCCGGCCUCUUGCUUAGCUUCUGAGAGGGUGAGAAAGGAGAGCUGACGAGAGAUCAGACUUCAAGACCCUCCGAGUGUGUCUUCAAGUUCUAGCAUCCGUCGCUUCUCUGUACAUGUUGUUUCUGCCACUGUCUCCAAAGUCGUUCCAGAUCUCCAAGACAGAAAAAGAGCCCCACCCCAGGCGAAGAUUGAUUUGAAGACUAAACUCGUCCCCAUCCCCCUCCAACCAACUGGCUUUAGCCUUGCAGCUAUUUGUUUUGUCUUUGUUCCCUGCAUUGAUUAGAAUCUACCCCUUCCUUUUCUGAUGCUGUGUAAUUACUCUACAGGAUUAGCUUUAUAUCUAACCCUGCAUGCCUUACAUGAUGUCACAUUCCUAAAAUGUCUCUCCCGUAUGUCCAAUUUUUUUUUUUUUUAGCAAAACAGUUCAAAUAUCUAAUUUCAGAAGUGGGAUUUGUGAACCAGAACUUUGUAUUUGUUCUUAUUUCCUAUACUAUAUUCAGUGUGGCAUUGUGUUCAAGAGCUGUACUUGAAGUUUUGCUUUCCCUGGCUUAUGACAGUAGCAGAUUUUGGAAUAAAUCUUGACACGUUAA